AUUGAACGCUGGCGGCAUGCUUUACACAUGCAAGUCGAACGGUAACAGGCCGCAAGGUGCCGACGAGUGGCGAACGGGUGAGUAAUGCAUCGGAACGUGCCCAGUCGUGGGGGAUAACUACUCGAAAGAGUAGCUAAUACCGCAUACGAUCUAUGGAUGAAAGCGGGGGACCGUAAGGCCUCGCGCGAUUGGAGCGGCCGAUGUCAGAUUAGGUAGUUGGUGGGGUAAAGGCUCACCAAGCCAACGAUCUGUAGCAGGUCUGAGAGGACGACCAGCCACACUGGGACUGAGACACGGCCCAGACUCCUACGGGAGGCAGCAGUGGGGAAUUUUGGACAAUGGGCGCAAGCCUGAUCCAGCAAUGCCGCGUGCAGGAAGAAGGCCUUCGGGUUGUAAACUGCUUUUGUACGGAACGAAACGGCUCUGGUUAAUACCCGGGGCUAAUGACGGUACCGUAAGAAUAAGCACCGGCUAACUACGUG
rnacentral:rRNA from 1 species